rnacentral:rRNA from 1 species
GAUGAACGCUGGCGGCGUGCCUAAUACAUGCAAGUCGAGCGAACAGACGAGGAGCUUGCUCCUUUGACGUUAGCGGCGGACGGGUGAGUAACACGUGGGUAACCUACCUAUAAGACUGGGAUAACUUCGGGAAACCGGAGCUAAUACCGGAUAAUAUUUCGAACCGCAUGGUUCGAUAGUGAAAGAUGGCUUUGCUAUCACUUAUAGAUGGACCUGCGCCGUAUUAGCUAGUUGGUAAGGUAACGGCUUACCAAGGCAACGAUACGUAGCCGACCUGAGAGGGUGAUCGGCCAAACUGGAACUGAGACACGGUCAAGACUCCUACGGGAGGCAGCAGUAGGGAAUCUUCCGAAAUGGGCGAAAGCCUGACGGAGCAACGCCGCGUGAGUGAUGAAGGUCUUCGGAUCGUAAAACUCUGUUAUUAGGGAAGAACAAACGUGUAAGUAACUGUGCACGUCUUGACGGUACCUAAUCAGAAAGCCACGGCUAACUACGUG